rnacentral:lncRNA from 1 species
AAAUGCAAAGUAAUUGUGAUAAAGUCAAGAUAAAGUUCACUUUUAAACUGAACUAAAUAAGGUAUCUGAGAGACAACAAUGGUUAAAUGCAAUACAAUGUACAGGUUUUACUAGCGAAAUGAAAAUUUUCCUGUCCUGUCUGCUGUAAUCAUUUUAUAUCUGGUAAGUUACAAUUACAACAGUAACGAUUUUUGAAGAUGUUAACAUUUUAAUCUUAUAGGAAAACCAGCCGACUUAAUCGAUAAUAGCAAUCUCCAGAUUGGGUUCCUUCAAUAAAUAUGGUCUAUAAACACAAUGAAAUAAGUUCCCCAAAAUCUAAAAUGGAGUGGUAUCAAAGGAGAAUUAAAGGGAAAAAUAUUCAUAUUGAAAUUAUUUAUAAGGCACUGGACUGUCUUAAAUUCUACAAUAAUACUAGAAUCAGCUGAGAGAAGUGGUCUACAAAAAACCAGGAAGGAAACGGAAUAUGUGGCUACGAAAGGCAAAAGAAAGGUUUACAAAGCAAAUGUGACACAUCUUUUUGAAAUAUUUAGGAAUAUCAGUAAAUUGCAUUGAAAAAAUGUAUGAAAAGAUUUUGUUCAAUAAAAAUGUUUAUAUUUA